rnacentral:rRNA from 1 species
GACGAACGCUGGCGGCGUGCUUAACACAUGCAAGUCGAACGGAAAGGCCCUGCUUUUGUGGGGUGCUCGAGUGGCGAACGGGUGAGUAACACGUGAGUAACCUGCCCUUGACUUUGGGAUAACUUCAGGAAACUGGGGCUAAUACCGGAUAGGAGCUCCUGCUGCUUGGUGGGGGUUGGAAAGUUUCGGCGGUUGGGGAUGGACUCGCGGCUUAUCAGCUUGUUGGUGGGGUAGUGGCUUACCAAGGCUUUGACGGGUAGCCGGCCUGAGAGGGUGACCGGCCACAUAGGGACUGGGAUACGGCCCAGACUCCUAAGGGAGGGAGGAGGGGGGAAUAUUGCAAAAUGGGCGGAAGCCUGAUGCAGCAACGCCGGGUGCGGGAUGACGGCCUUCGGGUUGUAAACCGCUUUCGCGUGUGACGAAGCGUGAGUGACGGUAAUGGGUAAAGAAGCACCGGCUACUACGUG